rnacentral:snRNA from 1 species
GUGCUUGCUUCGGCAUCAUGUACACUAAAAUUGGAAUAAUACAGAGCAAAUUAGCAUGGCCCCUGCACAAGGAUGACACGCAAAUACGUUAAGCAUUCCAUAUUUUU